rnacentral:rRNA from 1 species
GAUGAACGCUGGCGGCGUGCCUAAUACAUGCAAGUCGAGCGAACAGAUGAGGAGCUUGCUCCUCUGACGUUAGCGGCGGACGGGUGAGUAACACGUGGAUAACCUACCUAUAAGACUGGGAUAACUGCGGGAAACCGGAGCUAAUACCGGAUACUCUAUUGCACCGCAUGGUUCACUAGUGACUGUCGGUUUUGCUUCUACUUAUAGAUGGAUCCGCUCCGCAUUAGCUAGUUGGUAGGGUAACGGCUUACCAAGGCAACGAUGCGUAGCUGACCUGAGAGGGUGAUCGGCCACACUAGAACUGAGACACGGGCGAGACUCAUAGGGGAGGCAGCAGUAGGGAAUCUUCCGCAAUGGGCGAAAGCCUGACGGAGCAACGCCGCGUGGGGGAUGGAGGUCUUCGGAGCGUAAAACUCUGUUAUUAGGGAAGAACAAAUGUGUAAGUAACUAUGCACGUCGUGACGGUACCUAAGCAGAAAGCAACGGCUAACUACGUG